GUGCUCGCUUCGGCAGCACAUAUACUAAAAUUGGAAUGAUACAGAGAAGAUUAGCAUGGCCCCUGCGCAAGGAUGACCUGCAAAAAGAACUACUAUGUGAUC